CUACCUCCGCAAUUGGGGGAUAACACUGCGAAAGCGGUGCUAAUACCGAAUGACAUCCCGAGACUCCGGUUUUGGUGAUCAAAGGUGGCCUCUACAUGUAAGCUACCGUUUGGAGAUGAGCCCGCGUACCAUUAGCUUGUUGGUAGGGUAACGGCCUACCAAGGCUGCGAUGGUUAGCUGGUCUGAGAGGAUGAUCAGCCACACUGGAACUGACACACGGUCCAGACUCCUACGGGAGGCAGCAGUGAGGAAUUUUGCGCAAUGGGGGAAACCCUGACGCAGCAACGCCGCGUGAGUGAUGAAGGCCUUCGGGUCGUAAAGCUCUGUCAAGUGGGAAGAAAUUGCUUUGUGAUAAUACCAUGGAGCACUGACGGUACCACUGAAGGAAGCACCGGCUAACUCCGUGCCAGCAGCCGCGGUAA
rnacentral:rRNA from 1 species